GUCUUGUAGCAGCACAAUGGGUCAGUGCAUCUGACUGCUAACCAGAAGGUUGCUGGUUCCAGCCCAACCCUGGGACG